ensembl:processed_transcript Foxd2os forkhead box D2, opposite strand
AGAGGUCCUCUGCUCCCGGGCCCGGCGGGAACAAACUGCCGCGGUGGCGGGAGCUAGGCUCGCUUGGCUGGAGGCGGGUCAUCCUUCUCCUCGCAGCUCCCGCAACCCCGUGGCUCCCUGGAGCCACCACCACCUUCAGUGCGCUCAGUUACUGGAAGUCAAAGCUUUUGCCGGCGCAGCUGCAUCUGGUGGUGGCAGUGGCUACAAACCUCCUCUCCUCAUCUCCCCAAGGCGGCGCCCGGGCCACCCGGGCCGAAGCGCGGAUGGAUCGCCAGUGAGCCGAGAUGGCCAGACCGACGCCGCGGACAAGGACCUACUGGAGGCUAAGGGAGUUCUGGAGGACAAGUGAAGAGAGUGAUCCAGAGGAACAAACUCGGGCGCCGGAAGAUCCUACUCAGAUAGGCUAAAGAUUCCAAUGGAUGGAGGAAGAGAAGGCUUCGUAGGAACCAGAACAGCUGUCAGCUGCAGAGCCAAGCUUCUCCAGGAAGCCUGAGUCAUCCUGAGUCCCUCCCAUCUCAGAAAUGAUGUGUAGUUUCCAAAACAAUUUAUCUCUACUGGAACAAGGAAAUAAACAAAAGAAAAAGGAAGAGAUAGAAUCCAGGAAGCAGAAGGCGUAACACAGGACCGAGAUGAAGGGAUGUGACAGAGCACUUGAUUCACAUGUUCACGGCAUGGGUUUGAUCUCCAGUGUUGCAAAGCAAAGAAAAAGAAAGAAAGAAAGAAAGAAAGAAAGAAAGAAAGGAAGGAAGGAAGAAAGAAGCCAGGCGUGGUGGCGCACGCCUUUAAUCCCAGCACUCGGGAGGCAGAGGGAUGAAGAGAUGGCUCAGUAGUUGGGAGCACUGACUGCUCAUCAGAGGUCUUCAAUUCCCAGAAACCACAUGGUAACUCACAACCAUCUGUAAUGGGAUCUGAUGCCUUCUUCUCAUGUGUCUGAAGACAGUGUACUGAUAUACAUAAAAUAAAUACAUAAAUAAAAAUAAAUAAAAUUUUAAUUUUUUAUAUGUAUG